rnacentral:lncRNA from 1 species
UGUGAACAUACAACAAUAAUGAGCUGAAACUCCAUAACCAAAGGAAUAGAAAAGCUUGGAGAAAAGUUGUAUGUGAUCAAAGAUGAAAAAGUGAUUCUCAAUCUUGAAUUGUUACAAUAUUGAGGACAACUAUAUAUAGCUAAAGGAAUUAGUUAGAUCCUAACUAACUCUUCUCAACAACUUCUAACUAACUCCUAAAGUUAGUUAUUACAAAGAGAAAACAGAAUUUACUGUUUU